UACGUAGGGUGCGAGCGUUGUCCGGAAUUACUGGGCGUAAAGAGCUCGUAGUUGGUUUUUCGCGUUGUCCGUGAAAACUCACAGCUCAACUGUGGGCGUGCGGGCGAUACGGGCAGACUGGAGUACUGCAGGGGAGACUGGAAUUCCUGGUGUAGCGGUGGAAUGCGCAGAUAUCAGGAGGAACACCGGUGGCGAAGGCGGGUCUCUGGGCAGUAACUGACGCUGAGGAGCGAAAGCGUGGGGAGCGAACAGG
rnacentral:rRNA from 1 species